AUUCUGAAGACUGACUGAGCGUGGAAGUUGCUCAACAAAAAAAGGAACGGGUAUAUUGACAGAGUCUUGCUCUAUUGCCCAGGCUGCAACUGGUGUGAUCUCGGCUCACUACAACCUCUGCCUCCUGGGUUCAAGCGAUUCUCCUGCCUCAAGCUCCCAAGUAGCUGGGAUUACAAGCAUGCACCACCAUGCCUGGCUAAUUUUUGUAUUUUUAGUGGAGACGGGGUUUCGCCACAUUGGCCAGGGUGGUCUUGAACUCCUGACCUCAAGUGAUCCACCUGCCUUGGCCUCCCAAAGUGCUGGGAUUAUAAGCAUGAGCCACUGCACCCAGCCUUAUACUGAACUUUCAAUGGGUUCAAUUCCACUAGGAGCAUAAAGGCCACUGCAUAUGAGUUGUGGAAAGAAGAGAUUAGAAGAAGGAAGAACUUGAGAUGAGUUCCUCCCUUCAACAUUCUGUCUCCUCCUACCUAGCAUCUUCUUUCUUUUAGUCUUUCUAGAAUGUCCAUCUGUUUUUGGCCAUUGCGGAGAGAGAAGCUGAGCUUUAAAGGAGUAGGAGCUUCAAAGGCUUGCUGAGACAAAGGAAAACCCACUCCCUUGGAGGAGCAUGACCUUUUCCUGUAAUUCUUCCCACUGCUGUUGUUGAGCUCCUUGGAUCCUGGCUCCUGGACACCAUCAUCAAGAAGACUUUAUGGAUGGGCUGUCCACCCACUGAGAGAAGAGGAGCAUCAGCUACAGUUUCUCUCUAGAUUGCCUUCUUCAUUUUGAGUAAUGACUGUCAGCAGGGUCAGAUUAAACACAAAACAACUGGACAAUUGCUUGGAGGACUAAACUAUAAGGGCACUAACAUGUCAAUAGUAGGCUAACACAUCCAUGGAAAAUAUAUUUACCAGCUCUUCUCUCAGGGAGGAUUCUGUGUGGGGUUGGAAGUAAUGAUUUGUUAAAUUCCUUAGGGGUAGAAAGUAGGGCAUAAUCAGAAUAUAGAGGAAUAUGCUGUUUGACUUCAGGGUUUCUGUUUUUCUUACUAGGAUAUAUAAAACAGGGACUCUAGCUAGAUUGUUUAUGACCACAGAGGGUAGGCUGAGUGCUCCCAUGAUCUUCCUGCUUGGUUCUUGCCCAUACAGAGGUCAGCCUUUCCUCUAAUAAAGAUUGAACAAGUAG
rnacentral:lncRNA from 1 species